rnacentral:rRNA from 1 species
AUGCCCGAAAGACGUACUUCUCCCUCGUGUUUCGUGAGUGCAAUCUCUGGGAUCACAUCGAUGGCUCCGUGGACUCCCGCUUCAUGGAGGACGAUGAGGAGUGGACGGCCAUCGACGCCACUCUCAUCCGUUGGUUCUACACCACCAUCUCGAAGGACCUCUUCCACACGGUGGUCUCCGCCGACGAUGACGCUCACGCCGUUUGGACCAAGCUCAACGGCCUCUUCACCGACAACGCGCUCCAACGCAAGGUCUUCUUGCACGGCGAGUUUUUUGGGUGCCAGCAGCUUGAGUCGUCUGUUGACGAUUAUUGCGCGCCUCAAGAAGCUUGUUGACGAGCUCCGUGACCUCGGCGAGAAGGUCUUCGAUGAGCUUCUCCUCAGCACCCUCAUCGCCGGCCUGAACGAUGACUUCGGGAACACCGCCUCCAACAUCACCCUCAUCACCAACCCGACCUUCCCCAAGAUCGUCGCGUACUGA